AGUCUCUCGCUCUGUCGCCCAGACUGGAGUGCAGUGGCAGAUCUCAGCUCACUGCACACUCCACCUUCUGGGUUCAAACAAUUCUCCUGCCUCAGCUUCCUGAGUAGCUGGGACUAUAGGCGCAUGCUACCACGCCUGGCUGAUUUUUGCAUUUUUAGUAGAAAUGGAGUUUCACCCUAUUGGCCAGGCUGGUCUCCAACUCCUGACUUCAAGUGAUCCGCACGCCUUGGCCUCCCAAAUUGCUGGGAUUACAGGUGUGAGCCACCACGUCCAGCCUCAUUUACUUACUUUUAUUUUUUAGAGACAGGGUCUCACUCCAUCACCCAGGCUGGAGAGCAGUGAUACGAUCAUAGGUCACUGCAGGCUCAAACUCCUGGGCUCAAGUGAUUCUUUUGCCUCAGCCUCCCAAGUAUCUAGGACUACAGGCAUGCACCACCACGUUCAGCUGAGAUCUGAGAUUCAAAAUCAGAAGGUUUGAAAGAGAAUUAGAAAGGAAAUAAUUUUCUCAAAAUGAGAUUUACCAUUAUUUAUUUCUGUAACUGUAUAUAUAUCACCUAAGUUCUUCUGCACAAUGGCAUAUAUAUUUGAAGAUGACUAGGUUUUUAUAGUCAGCAUUCUCUUUCUGAGCAGGUCCAGUUUACAACACCUGGCCUUUAAGGAGUGUUAUGUUAUAUUGGGUUCAUGCUCAUCAUAGUUACUCUGUGUUAAGAGGCAAACCGGCUUAAAGGAACGUCAUGCCACAGCAGGAGCUGAAAUCUGAAGAAUGAAUCUUGAAGCAUGUGCUUGAGAAUGGCCUGACAGCUAUGCUCAUCUGGUGUUAGAAGCUUCAGCUAAACAAGGAGAGUCUCCCUUACCAGAGGGUCAUUCUUUGGCAGGCAGCCAAGCUAUGCUGCGAGCAGUGCUGUGGAGAGGCGCACACAGUGAGGAACUGAAGCUCCCUGGUGACAGCCAUGCGAAUGAGCUUGGAAGAGUAUCCUCUGGACCAGUCAAGCUGUAGAUGACUGCAGCCCCACUAACACUUUGCAGAGGUGUGAGAGAUCUUGAGCCAGAACCACCCAGCUAGGCCAGUCUUGGAUUCCUGACCCACAGAAACUGUCAGAUAAUAAAUGCUUACUGUUUGAAGCCAAUAAGACUGGGGUUACUUGUUACACAGCAAUAAAUAACUGAUACAAACUGGCAACAUAAGGUUGGUUAAUCCAUGCAUCCAUCCAUCCAUCCACCCACCCACCCACCCACCCACCCAUCCACCCAUCCAUUCCUCCCUCCCUCCCUUCUUCCCUCCCACUCUCCCAUUUGUCCACUCUUUAUGCUUUCACCAAAUGUUUGAGGGCCUACUAUUUCCCAGGAACAGUGCAUGGUGAUUAGGAUGCUAAGAUGAUUGCCACAAUCCAUACUUUGAAGGAGCGAAAUAUCUAGUCGUCUUCAGCAAAACAAGAGUUGAAUUCUACUUUGUCAUUUUCCUAGUAGUAAAUUUGAAUCCUAGAAGUAAAUAUCUAAGAAAGAUUUUCUUUUUCUGUACCUUUCCUUUUGUUAUAUUCUUCAUGCUAAUUCUAAAAAAGGAGGAAUCAACAUCCGUUUAAACCAUAUUUGAUGUAUACUAUAAAACUGAAUUCUAGAUGAAAUUAAUGCAAAGCAUAUUUUAUGGCAUCAGCAUUUAUAAAUUAUGUAAUGCUUUAAGUGGAUUAUUUGUCUUCACUGUUUACAUUUUUUCCCUGAUUAUAUGAAUUGUUCUGAAAACAAAAAGGUACUAAGGAAUUUAAGGAAGAAAAUGAGACUUGAGCCAAAUAAAUAAAUAAUAAUAUUGAUAGAGUGCUUUCUCUAUGCCAUACUCUGUGCUAAGCAAUUUAUGUACAUUUCUUUUAUUAAUCCUCACCAGGAAUUGUAAGUAUUAUCCCUAUUUUAUGGAUAAUGAAACUAAGAUUUAGAAUACUUAGGAACAAAGUCCAAAAAUCAGUAAGAAUUGGAGGUGAAUUUCAGAUGCAGAUCUAAGCUCUUAGCUGCUCUGUUGUGCAUAUGUUUAUAUGGCUGUGUACCGACAUGCAGUACCAUGCUUCAGGAGUGCAUAGUUUGGCUAGGAGACAUUCACUUAUACCAUCUCUUGUGUGUACACAGAGCCCUUAAAGCGUGGUUUGGCCAAAUUUGUAUCAGAGUAUCAUGGGAGCUGCAAUAGUCAGAACUUUAAAUGGUGUAUCUUAUUAAAUCCUGCACAACCCAAAGGAAAUUUUUUCUACUUCCCUUACAAAGGUACUGAAGAUGAACAAAAAAGAAUGGAAAAUACCAGGUUAGAGAACUUAACAAAAAUUUACUUUAUCUCAUAACAUUUUGAUGACUGUUAGGAAAGGGGGCUGAGAUGAUUGAGAAUAGGGGGCACCUGUUCUGCUGAGAGGAGAACAAAUUGCCUUUAUUUUAUUUUAUUUUUUAUUAUUUUUUAUUUUUUAUUUUUUUUUUUGAGACGGAGUCUUGCUCUGUCCCCCAGGCUGGAGUGCAGUGGCGCAAUCUCGGCUCACUGCAAGCUCCACCUCCCGGGUUCACGCCAUUCUCCUGCCUCAGCCUCUCCUAGUAGCUGGGACUACAGGCGCCCGCCACCACGCCCGGCUAAUUUUUUUUUUUUUUUUUUUUUUUUUUUUUUUAUUAUACUUUAGGGUUUUA